rnacentral:lncRNA from 1 species
AAACAUCAGUGCGGAGUCUCCAACAGUCUACAAAUUUCACCAGGGAUUUGCAGUGUUCCUCCGAUUCUUUUCGUCUCAUGCAAAGUUUGAGGUAUCUUUCAUAAGCGUGUAGAUACAGUUAUUUAUCUGUAUUGCUCACUUCAUAAUUUACAGCUUUUAUAUGUUUUCUUAAAGUUCAAUUUCAAAUGUUAAAAUCUCCCUUUCACGCCGAUCUGUUUUACUUCCCAGAAUAUUGUGGAUAAAUGCGUGAGAUAAUGUUCGCAUCAAAAUCCACUCGAGAGUUGAAAACUUUAUCAUGGGUCACCAAUCAAUUUCUUGAAUGUAAUUAAGGCGUAAGAAUUGUAGUGAAUCACCUAAAAAAAAUUUAUUUACUUUCUUGCGUUUGACUGCAAGAUGUGUGUGUGUUUUUAAAUACUAAUUCACGUGCACUGUUGGACUUGUGUUUUGGUUUAUAUUUUUGGAUAUAGCUGUUCAACAGUUUUGUUGGAUUUCAUUUAUUGAUUUCAUUUUUGAAUCAAUUUUUUUAUGUUCCCAUCAUCAGAAGUUUUACUUGAAAGUCGGAAAGAAAACUAUGGUCAAUUUGGGUGCACCUGGAAAGGCAGCUAGCGACAUCACAGAUGAUUACCAGCUUUCAAUGUUAAAAAUAUGCAAAUCAAUGCAAAAAUUAUUUAUUACAGGUUUGUUUUAUAUCGUAUUUGAACAUCAUUCUGCCUCUAUGAGACUCCACUUUUAUUAGACAAUUGAUUGCAUAUCUGUUUGGUACGACGAUGGAUAGUAUUUUGGUUGGAAAGAUUGCCUCAACA